UACGAAGGGGGCUAGCGUUGUUCGGAUUUACUGGGCGUACAGGGAGCGUAGGCGGUUGGAUAAGCCCUCCGUGAAAUCUCCAGGCUUAACCUGGAAAGUGCAGAGGGGACUGUUCAGCUAGAGGAUGGGAGAGGAGCGCGGAAUUCCCGGUGUAGCGGUGAAAUGCGUAGAGAUCGGGAGGAAGGCCGGUGGCGAAGGCGGCGCUCUGGAACAUUUCUGACGCUGAGGCUCGAAAGCGUGGGGAGCAAACGGG
rnacentral:rRNA from 1 species